rnacentral:rRNA from 1 species
AGACGGGGCCGGCCGACAAGACGGUGGAGUAUGUGGUUUAAUUCGAUGCAACGCGAAGAACCUUACCUGGUCUUGACAUCCCGGAGACCCUUAGGAACUAGGGGGUGGCUUCCAUCUGGAAGAAUCUGGAGACAGGUGCUGCAUGGCUGUCGUCAGCUCGUGUCGUGAGAUGUUGGGUUAAGUCCCGCAACGAGCGCAACCCUUGCCUUUAGUUGCCAGCAGUUCGGCUGGGCACUCUAAAGGGACUGCCGGUGUUAAACCGGAGGAAGGUGGGGAUGACGUCAAGUCCUCAUGGCCUUUAUGACCAGGGCUACACACGUACUACAAUGGCCGAUACAAAGGGCAGCGACACUGCGAGGUGAAGCCAAUCCCGUAAAAUCGGUCUCAGUCCGGAUUGGAGUCUGCAACUCGACUCCAUGAAGUUGGAAUCGCUAGUAAUCGUGGAUCAGCAUGCCACGGUGAAUACGUUCCCGGGCCUU